GAAGCCACAUGGCAUCACCACAGGUGUGGUUUUGUAAAAAGGUGAUCUAUCAACUGAGUUUGGAACAAUUCAGCGUUAAGGGGUCAAGGAUAAAAAGUGGAGACAUGUCGGAGAUACACAGGAGUGACUAGUAUAUAAAAUCAACACUUGGGAAACCCAGAUCCUCUACAGUUCAGGAGAAAAGAAUGUUUUGAGAAGGUCUUCAAACGCUGAUUUAAAGAUGCUAAUAACAUACUGUCCGGGCUAGGCAAGGUUAUUCUCUAAAAGGAAUUGGGCCAUGACGCCACUGUAAUCUUAAGAAACAAUGGGAGAUACAAGUAGAGACCACCUUUGCCUUUUCCACUUUCCUGCUUAAUGCCUUGGUUCCAUGCUGUUACUGCCUGGACUACAUACUGUGAUGAUUAAUUUUGUGGGCCAACUUGACUGGACUAAAGAUAUAAAGAAAGCUGAUGGAAGAUUAUAUCUGGGUUUUUCUGGGCAGAUGUUUCUGGAAGAGUAUUUGCAUCAGUGGACAAUAAAGAAUAUACACCCUCAUCAGUGUAGGCUUACAUCUACUCCAUUGAAGACAUGUAUAAAAAGAAGCAAGAAUGAUGAAUUCUCCCUCUUUUAAUACCAUGACAUAUAUCUGUUCCUGUACAUAAACAUCAGAGCUCCUGGACUGAACUUUGGGAAUUACAACAACUGUCUCCUGUUGCUACCAUUCAUUCCUCAGUCCCAUGAUCAUACAGAGCCACCUGGAGAUACAAGGAGAAACAAGAUGUGCAUGCUGUACUGCAAAAAGGUACAGAGGCUUGUGGUAGAGCAUAGAUAAGAAAUAUGGAUUAGUUUAAGUUGUAAAAGCUAGUAAGUAACAAGCCGAAGCUAUCAGCCAAGCAUUUGUAAUUAAUAAGUCUCUGUGUGGGUAUUUUGAAGAUGGCUGGUGGAUAGAAAAUUCUGCCUACACAUAGAUCUUGGAGGAGAACUAACAUUCAUCAUUUUACUAAACUAAUGUAACCCCAAAGUAUAAUCUAAAUAAUUUGUUCUUGAACACACAGAUAAUUGUAGUCCCCACCCUGCAUCAAGAAAAUUUCUCAGUGUCACAGAUGGAGACUAUCUCAGAAACCCACAACCAAUGACAAUGUAAAGCUGUGGAGCCCAGAACCAGUGGAUACAUCUAAAACACAAGUCCAGCACUUAUGCCUUCAGAAACAUUGCAGGAAGAUUAUAAGAACUAGAAGAUCAGAGAAUUUUCUGUGAAACAGAAUUUUCUAUUAAUAUCAGAAGCUAUAACCAUAUAACCAUAAAAUCUUAUUCAACAUGAGUACUUAAACAUGAGCUGAACAAGGACAACAGCAGCAGACAUGCCAAAGGACAGAAGAAACAGCCAUGGAAUCUCAAUUUUAUACACAUAACUACAGGCAGCUAAAAGAAUGCUGAGUGGGAGAAGUGUUUUUUCCUAGGGAAAGCCACACUUAUUGGUUAACCAUUAUCAAUGAUUGAUCCUGAAAACAUACAUACAAGUGUGUGUGUGUGUGUACUUAAUAACAACUAGUAAAAAGGUCAUAAAUUUAAAAGAGAGCAGGAAGGGUCUAUGGGAGGAUUUAGAGCACAAAAGGGAAGGUGGAAAUGAUGCAAUUCUAUUAUAAUAUCAAAAUUAAGAAGAAAAUAUAAUACAUGUUAAAAUAAGAACAAUUGUUCACAAGCAGCAGAAUCCCAGAAGCAAACCAAGGACAGCAAUGAUGUGUACUUCUGGGGAACCUGAAAAAUUACCCGGAAUCCUGAAAGACUCAGUCAAUGAACCAGAGUUCCUGAAAGAACUCAGUUUUGGAAAAAAGAGUCCCAGCUGACCGAUCAGCUGAUUCUAGUUUUGAUUCUAGUUUUAAUAACCAAACCAGAAAGGAAAAGGAGAGUUAAGUAUAUGGCUAUGAACAGUUACUUCAUGUAGUCUCCAUUAACAAGAUUUAAGAAAAUGCUUCAACACAAUACACCAAAUAAAGACACUGAUAGUAAUAUCAGGUUUGCUGAAGCAUGACUGUCACACCCCUUUAGUUUCAAAGGAAUACAAGCAUAGAAAUAAGUUAAGAAGGUUAAAUUAUUGGAUUUAUGAAGAGAAAAGAUUUUGCAUAUUACUUUUUAUGUGUAAUUUUCUUUAUUAUCCUUAGAGAUCCUGGUUUAUAUUUAUAAAUCAAAAGCAAUCUCUAGCUCCGGUGAAAAAUGUAAUUAAAAUGUAGUCUGUUGCAUAUAUCUAUUGGAAUAGAUAAUUUCAGGCAAGUGAUUUUGAUUAAAAAUUUGGAAUGAUUAUUGCUAUAUACAUUGAGGUAAAGGAGGAUAUAAACUUUAUAAAAAGCCAAAUGGGUAAGAGUUUGAGAUCUCUUUGAGCUGGAAAUACUCAGGCACAAAGAGGGUACUAUUUAGCCAGCCUGUUUAUAUCAUAAUAUUGACCAAAUGUGGCCUGGAAGAGAAGAAGUUUUGGAUUUUAUCUUGUCUUUGUCACCCCAGGAAGCACUAGAGCCAUCACUGAGUUUGAUAGGUGGGCUUAAUGUAUGAAGACAGGACAAUCUCCUUCCAAUUAAUUAAUCCCAAUGAGCACAAUAAAUAUAAAGGAAGAUGGUGAUGGGUUAACCAAUGUAAAAGGGAUUUGGAGUAUUGACAUAUACUUUUGUUUGCAAAAGCUUUAUUUUUAUAGACUGGAAAGUACCCCUAUAAAUAAAAAUUCUAGCUUUAAAAAAAGAAGUCAGCAAUACAGAGACACCUCCCUUGAUUGUCAUCUGUCUUCUACUUUUUGCCUUAGUAGACGCACACCUGCUACAUUCUCAUGGAAAAACACAUCUUCUGAGCCACAUUUUACUUUAUAUGUUGGUUUAAAAUAAAGGGAACAAAAAGAUAGGUAACUGAACAGACAAGAAACAGCUGUUUUGUUUUAUUCUGUCAAAAGCCACUCAUGGCCUCUUGGGUUGGAGACUAAUGGCCCUUCCUAGGAAACAGUCUUAACUAUGCAUUGAACUCAGCAAUGGAACUUUAUACCCCUUUGUUCAAAAGAUAAUAAUCACACAAAUGGACAUCCUGCAACCUUAAAAAUCUCAUGCCUUUUAAAGUUAUCUUUUUAGUGGCACAAGAAACAGUCCUUAUAGGUAAAUUCAUGAUUCAUUACUGAAACACAGUAUCUUUUUUGGCAAUAGUUUUAUUCUUUCAUGCACACAUCCAUUUAAAAGUAUUUUUGACUGUGUACACGAGAUAUUCAUUAAGGUGCUAAGGAAACAGUAGCAAGUAGUACAGUACAAGCAAAGAAAACCCUUAAGUAAGGGACUUCACAUUCUACAGCUGCAUGGCAAAUAACACCAAAUGGCAAUCAGCAGGCAGCCUAGCAGAAUGUGAGAGGUACUUCAGAAAGUGCUGAAAUGAUGCUUGAGGGCUGGGGUUGCCUGGGACCUGGAAUGACUGGGCAGAACUCAUGAAAGGAUAGGAGGGAGGAAAUCAUUCAGACACCCAAGAAGAGCAAACCCAGAAGGGUAUGUUUCUUUAUGUGUAUUUGAAUUUCCACCCAGUAUCACUUUUCUUUCAGCCCAAUCAGUUUUUCUGAAUAUACCUUGCCAUGUUCGCCUGUUGGUGAUGUGUUCAUCUCAGCUUUUGUUUCUCUGAUAAUUUUUCCCUUCAGUAUCUAAUUGCUGCUGAAGGAUACUUUUGCUAGGCUAUUUUUCUCUAGUAUUUUCUAGAUUCCAUCAUAUUCUGUUUGGGUUUGUAUACUAAUUUCUUUUCUCAUUGCUUUGACAAGAUCUUCAAAAGUGUAACACUUACUUUGUGACUCACAGUUGGAGGGAACAAACCAUCAUGGCAGGGAAGUCAUCAUGGUUGAACCUUAAGCAGAUGGUCACAGUGCUUCUGCAGUUAAGAAGCAGAAAGGGUGAAUCCUUGAGCUCAGCUUCCUUUCUCUGUUUUAUUUAUUCCUACAUCCCCAGACCAUGCAUUUGUAUCACCAGCAUUUAGGGUGAGUAUUUCCCCUGAGUUAACCUAGUUUAUCUAUUACCUCACAGGCAUAUCCAGUGGCUAACCUAAGUUAGACAAUCACUGACAGACAUACCAAUGCUUGUCUCCUAGGUGAUCCUAGGUCCUUCAGAGUUGACAGGCACCAUUAAUCAUCACAGUUUGUAUCAUUUUUUGGAAGCCUGUGGUCAUUUUGUUUGUUGUUCUCUCCCACAGUGUGUCUUCUUUUUUAUCUGCUAUAAACAAAUACUUGCUUUACCACUGCAUUUGUGCUUGAGACUGGAUAUUUAUCCUGUUCAGUGUUCUUGGAGAUUUUCAGUUCUGUAGUUUUAUACUUAUUAUCAAAUUUGAAAUGACUUUUCGUCUCUUUUUCUACAUCUUUUUUCUGACUCCUUCCUUUUGGAACUAAAACUACCUAUGAUAGAAGGUAGUUGCCUUCUUCUUCUUCUUCUUCUUCUUCUUCUUCUUCUUCUU